AAUGUAUCACUCCGUCCCAAAAUUCUUGUCUUAGAUUUGUCUAGAUAUGAAUGUAUCNNNNNAUGUUUUAGUAUUUAGAUACAUCUAUUUUUAGACAAACUUGAGACAAGAAUUUUGGCACGAAUGUAGUAGAUU
rfam:Hordeum vulgare subsp. vulgare, WGS project CAJW01000000 data, contig: morex_contig_168036